rnacentral:rRNA from 1 species
UGGGUCCAACCUCCCACCCGUGUUUAUUUACCUUGUUGCUUCGGCGAGCCUGCCUUUUGGCUGCCGGGGGACGUCAGUCCCCGGGUCCGUGCUCGCCGGAGACACCUUAGAACUCUGUCUGAAGAUUGUAGUCUGAGAUUAAAUAUAAAUUAUUUAAAACUUUCAACAACGGAUCUCUUGGUUCCGGCAUCGAUGAAGAACGCAGCGAAAUGCGAUACGUAAUGUGAAUUGCAGAAUUCAGUGAAUCAUCGAGUCUUUGAACGCACAUUGCGCCCUCUGGUAUUCCGGAGGGCAUGCCUGUCCGAGCGUCAUUGCUGCCCUCAAGCACGGCUUGUGUGUUGGGCCCCGUCCUCCUUCCGGGGGACGGGUCCGAAAGGCAGCGGCGGCACCGCGUCCGGUCCUCAAGCGUAUGGGGCUUUGUCACUCGCUUUGUAGGCCUGGCCGGCGCUUGCCGAUCAACCAAACUUUUUAUCAGGUUGACCUCGGAUCAGGUAGGGAUACCCGCUGAACUUAAGCAUAUCAAUAAGCGGAGGAAAUC